UACGUAGGGUGCGAGCGUUAAUCGGAAUUACUGGGCGUAAAGUGUGCGCAGGCGGCCAUGCAAGUCGCGUGUGAAAGCCCCGGGCUUAACCUGGGAAUUGCGCUCGAAACUACGUGGCUGGAGUGUGGCAGAGGAAGGUGGAAUUCCACGUGUAGCGGUGAAAUGCGUAGAGAUGUGGAGGAACACCAAUGGCGAAGGCAGCCUUCUGGGCCAACACUGACGCUCAUGCACGAAAGCGUGGGGAGCAAACAGG
rnacentral:rRNA from 1 species